rnacentral:rRNA from 1 species
AUUGAACGCUGGCGGCAGGCCUAACACAUGCAAGUCGAACGAGUGGCGGACGGGUGAGUAAUGUCUGGGAAACUGCCUGAUGGAGGGGGAUAACUACUGGAAACGGUAGCUAAUACCGCAUACCAUCGGAUGUGCCCAGAUGGGAUUAGCUAGUAGGUGGGGUCAAGGCUCCACUAGGCGACGAUCCCUAGCUGGUCUGAGAGGAUGACCAGUAACACGGGAACGGAGACACGGUCCAGACUCCGACGUGAGGCAGCAGUGGUGAAUAUUGCACAAUGGGCGCAAGCCUGAUGCAGCCAUGCCGCGUGUAUGAAGAAGGCCGUCGUGUUGUAAAGUACUUUUGGCGGGGAGGCGUUACCCGCAGAAGAAGCAUCGGCUAACUCCGUGCCAGCAGCCGCGGUAAUUC